rnacentral:tRNA from 1 species
CAUUAGAUAUCUAAUAUAGCAAGAUCUGGUCUCUUAAACCAUAAAUAGUAGAUUAGCCCCUACUUCUAAUGA